rnacentral:misc_RNA from 1 species
UCUCCGUUGGUGAACCAGCGGAGGGAUCAUUACAGAGUUGCAAAACUCCCAAACCAUUGUGAACGUUACCUAUCCCGUUGCUUCGGCGGGCGGCCCGGGCCCCGCGCCCGGCGCCCCCCGGCCCCCCGUGGGCGCCCGCCGGAGGUAAACCAAACCCUUGAAUUGCAUGGCCUCUCUGAGUCUCCUGUACUGAAUAAGUCAAAACUUUCAACAACGGAUCUCUUGGUUCUG